CCCUUAGUUGUCCUGGGCCGCACGCGCGCUACACUGAGUGUCUGAGAUACGAGUCUGCCUGGUCCAGCAAGGUCUAGGUAAUCGCUAAAAGACACAUCAUGCUUGGGAUAGAUUAUUGCAAAUAUUAAUCUUGAACGAGGAAUUCCUAGUAAGCGCAAGUCAACAGCUUGCGUUGAUUACGUCCCUGCCCUUUGUACACACCGCCCGUCGCUACUACUGAUUGGAUGUUUAAGCGAGGUUCUCGAACUGCUAGCGACUUAGCUUCGGUGAGGUCGCAGUGUGGGAAGUGAACCUAGCUUUGGUGUCUAGAGGAAGUAAAAGUCGUAACA
rnacentral:rRNA from 1 species